rnacentral:rRNA from 1 species
GCACGCCUAACACAUGCAAGUCGAACGCAGUAGCAAUACUGAGUGGCGAACGGGUGAGUAUAAUGUAGGUAUCUGCCUUUUGGUUUGGAAUAACACGAGGAAACUUGUGCUAAUACCGGAUAAGCCUUCACAGGGAAAGUUUUAACGCCAAAAGAUGAGCCUGCACUUGAUUAGCUAGUUGGUAAGGUAAUGGCUUACCAAGGCUACGAUCAAUAGCUGAUCUGAGAGGAUGAUCAGCCACAUUGGGACUGAGGCACGGCCCAAACUCCUACGGGAGGCAGCAGUGGGGAAUUUUGCACAAUGGGGGAAACCCUGAUGCAGCGAUGCCGCGUGAGUGAAGAAGGCCUUUGGGUUGUAAAGCUCUUUCGUCGGGGAAGAAAAUGACUGUACCCGAAUAAGAGGGUCCGGCUAACUUCGUGCCAGCAGCCGCGGUAAUACGAAGGGACCUAGCGUAGUUCGGAAUUACUGGGCUUAAAGAGCUCGUAGGUGGUUAGAAAAGUUGGUGGUGAAAUCCCAAGGCUUAACCUUGGAACUGCCAUCAAAACUUUUUGAC